CCCAAAAAGGACCCUGUAAAAAAAAAAACACAGAUUCCAUCCUUGCCAAAUUCAGAUUCCCUCAUUUUAAACCCUCAGUGGAUGAGAUCCCAUAAAAAGCUGACAUGGACUUGCCACGUUGGCAUAUCUUAUUAUUUGAGGGUUUGUACGCAGCGCUUCCUCCAUCUACAACAUCAACCUGCAUACGAGCUUCAAAGAAUGUCUCGAAGCGCAAGUUCAGAGAUUAAUAGCUGUGGGAGGAAAGCUCCAAUCUGCGGGCACCAUCAACCUAUGCGAAUGUUUGUGUCGAAAUCGAAGUCAAACCCAGGAAGAAAAUAUUGGAAGUGUAGAAAUUGGGGGAAGAAUGAUGAUUGCAAUGGGUUUCAAUGGGACGAUGAAAUUGAUAGUGAAAUAGUUGAAGGUGGC